AGGCAGCAGUGGGGAAUAUUGGACAAUGGGGGUAACCCUGAUCCAGCAAUGCCGCGUGGAUGAAGAAGGUCUUCGGAUUGUAAAGUCCUUUCGACGGGGACGAUGAUGACGGUACCCGUAGAAGAAGCCCCGGCUAACUUCGUGCCAGCAGCCGCGGUAAUACGAAGGGGGCUAGCGUUGCUCGGAAUGACUGGGCGUAAAGCGUGCGCAGGCGGUUAUAUAAGACAGUUGUGAAAUCCCCGGGCUCAACCUGGGAAUUGCAUCUGUGACUGUGUAGCUAGAGUACGGUAGAGGGGGAUGGAAUUCCGCGUGUAGCAGUGAAAUGCGUAGAUAUGCGGAGGAACACCGAUGGCGAAGGCAAUUCCCUGGACCUGUACUGACGCUCAUGCACGAAAGCGUGGGGAGCAAACAGGAUUAGAUACCCUGGUAGUCCACGCCCUAAACGAUGUCAACUGGUUGUUGGGUGCAUUAGUACUCAGUAACGAAGCUAACGCGUGAAGUUGACCGCCUGGGGAGUACGGCCGCAAGGUUGAAACUCAAAUGAAUUGACGG
rnacentral:rRNA from 1 species